UGCAGUCGAGCGGACUGAUGGGAGCUUGCUCCCUGAUGUUAGCGGCGGACGGGUGAGUAACACGUGGGCAACCUACCUGUAAGACUGGGAUAACUCCGGGAAACCGGGGCUAAUACCGGAUAACCCGUUCCUCCUCAUGGAGGGGCGGUAAAAGAUGGCUUCUUGCUAUCACUUACAGAUGGGCCCGCGGCGCAUUAGCUAGUUGGUAAGGUAAUGGCUUACCAAGGCGACGAUGCGUAGCCGACCUGAGAGGGUGAUCGGCCACACUGGGACUGAGACACGGCCCAGACUCCUACGGGAGGCAGCAGUAGGGAAUCUUCCGCAAUGGACGAAAGUCUGACGGAGCAACGCCGCGUGAGUGAUGAAGGUUUUCGGAUCGUAAAGCUCUGUUGUUAGGGAAGAACAAGUGCCGUUCGAAUAGGGCGGCACCUUGACGGUACCUAACCAGAAAGCCACGGCUAACUACGUGCCAGCAGCCGCGGUAAUACGUAGGUGGCAAGCGUUGUCCGGAAUUAUUGGGCGUAAAGCGCGCGCAGGCGGUCUUUUAAGUCUGAUGUGAAAGCCCACGGCUCAACCGUGGAGGGUCAUUGGAAACUGGGAGACUUGAGUACAGAAGAGGAGAGUGGAAUUCCACGUGUAGCGGUGAAAUGCGUAGAUAUGUGGAGGAACACCAGUGGCGAAGGCGACUCUCUGGUCUGUAACUGACGCUGAGGCGCGAAAGCGUGGGGAGCAAACAGGAUUAGAUACCCUGGUAGUCCACGCCGUAAACGAUGAGUGCUAGGUGUUAGGGGUUUCGAUGCCCUUAGUGCCGAAGUUAACACAUUAAGCACUCCGCCUGGGGAGUACGACCGCAAGGUUGAAACUCAAAGGAAUUGACGGGGGCCCGCACAAGCAGUGGAGCAUGUGGUUUAAUUCGAAGCAACGCGAAGAACCUUACCAGGUCUUGACAUCCUUUGACAACCCUAGAGAUAGGGCUUUCCCCUUCGGGGGACAAA
rnacentral:rRNA from 2 species